GCUAAGUGAUGGCCAGGUGUUAGAAAUACAAAUGGCUUAUAUCGGUAGAAUUGCCUUGUUAAGGUCUUGGGCUCGGUAGGCUUCAGUCAUCUCAGACCUAAUAAUGCUAGGUGAGGAGAAUGGACUACUGAUAGUGGACACAAAGACAUCCAGCAGAACCCCCAAGACAAGGAAGAAAUUUAUAAAGCAAACUCAGCUGGACUGGGUAAAAGACAGCUCUUGGAACAACUUCUGCAGAUGUGGUGAGACCUCAUGGGGGCUGGGUUUCCAUGCUCCUCCGUCCCUGCAGCACCAGAGAAUCUAUUCAACGGCACAAACCCUGCUCACCUGUGUUCCUCUAGGGAAGGCUUGCUGAAGAGGUGAGCCCAGCACCUGUAACCUGCAGGUGUUGAGGAUUUGUUAAUCACCUCGGGCCAGUUACUUCAUGAGGGAUAACUGAAGGGAUUAACAGGAUGGAGCCGAGGAAAAGGAGAAAGCAGGCAAGAUUAAAAAAAAAAAAAAAAAGUUAUCAGUGAGUUAAAAAUGUAGUAAAGAAGUUGGGGUUUGAGUUACCAGCAUUUUUUCACCAGUCUGUUCACACUAUAGAAGACUUCUUCUCACUCUUAAACAAGGCUGCCUUUGAAAAAGGAUUGAAGUGAACUUUGCCAGUGCUGGAGCCUAAGUCGGGGCUCCUGGGGGCUGUGAGAUUGUGCUCCUUAACAGAUCCAUGGACUUCAGAGAGCUGGAGCUUUGGCCUUGCUGAAGUACCUCUGGAGAGCCUGAGAUAGGGAUAAAGGCUGCUGAGCACAAGUGUCUGCAUUUUACCUGUGGAAAGAGGGAUUCUGCUGAGGAACGGGGAGCAGGACUCUGCUGUCAGUGUAGCAGAACUCUGACCAGCUGCAGGAGUAGUGCCUGGGGUUAUGCUGGGUCUUAACUACAGAUGCUCAGAGCUGCAGCUGUAUCUCAAGACAAGAUAUACUCCACUUUGUGAGGUGCAAGGGAUGAUCUAGAAAGAGGAGGAGGGAGCUGCUGGGAUUUGAAGGAAGAAGUGACCAGCAGAUUUUGAUUUCUGGUGGCAGAAAUGUUUGAUAUUCCAAGAGGGUGCCAAGGAAGGGUUUCCUGUCCCUGUGGAGUCCUGCAGUGACUGCUGUAGCAACUACUGAAGGCACAUCUGACACCUGCUGCAUGUGGCUGCAAUUUGAUUUUAUACUGUUCCUGUCCCUUGCUUACCUUGUUGAUCGCAAACAGUUUUUUGGAAACUCUUGAGAACCAGGUUCAGCUACCUGUGGAGAGCAGGGACAUAGAUCUACCUACAGACAGAGACAGUCAUCCUCGUCCUUUGGUGCACACACAGCUGUUGUGGCUCAGUAUCUUUUCCUACCCUCUGAGGUUUUGUUCAGCAACUUCAUCUGUGCUAAUGUCAUCCUUUCCUGGAAUUGCCUGGUAUCUUUCCAUCUUAAAUUAGAAAGUAAGGAGGUCCUUGUACUACUCUAACAUGACAUGAGAAGAACAUUCCUGAGGAAGCUGUUGCACCAGGAUGAGAGCUGAGCAAGCAAACCCCUUGGGCCACUUUUGCAGCUGGUCACUGACUCUGUUGAGCCUCACCGCUACCAUGUUCAUUGAUACACCCUGUUGUCCCAGCUAGAAGUGGAUCCUCAGAAAAAGGGACAGAACUCGGGCCUGAGUUUUUUGUUGGGAAAUGUGCCUGUCCCCAGAGACUCAGAUGGAGAGCUGCCAUGCUGUCCAGGGACCAGACCAGCUGGAGGAAGACCAGAUGCAAACAGUGACAGCAGCAGCUUGCAACUGAACUGGAAGAUUUUCCAGGAUUAGGAGGUGCACAGCAUGGCAUGGACCUUCUGGUGCCCCCAAAGUGCAUGGCCUUUGGGCCACUGAUAUUAUCAUUGCUGAGGUUCACCUCCACAGAGAGAGUGUCCUGAUUGCAAGAUCCCCAGGAAUGCAAGAAAAAGCUGCCAUUGAAAAAUAUAUUUUAAUUUUCCCUGUUCCAGAGAAGACCUGGUAAAUAUGACAGUCUAAAUUCAAAACACAAUGAAAAGAAAAAGACUCCUUCAGUUCUCAUCACCUGAUGAGCACUGUGGCUGUAAGAGGACACGACUCCUUAAUGAUUAUUGUGGAUAGCUGGCAACCUACAAGGCUCUAAAUGUUUAUUGGUAUUUUAAAGGAAUGAAGCUUUUGAGGUCAUGGGCACUGGAUGUUUAUUCUAAAAAGGCUUAAUUUCAGCCCAUAAUGGAAAACCAUUAUACAGUGCCCAAAGGCUGAUAUGAGAGCACUGCUGGUCUGGGCAGCAUUCCCAGCACAGCCCUCCUGCCUGAGCCCCUCAGGCAGCAGCCCCCAGGGGAGAGCCGCUGGCAGCCCGGGGAGCAAUGGAGAGCAGUGCUGACAGCACCUUCCUCAUCUUCAGCCUCAUGGAGUCACACAAAGCAGCGAUAGAAUUUUUGUUAAACGUGACAGCUUCGCUGAAAUACAAAUAUUGAACAUUGUCAUCUUGUGUUAUCUGGCUGAUUUGCAUGGAUUAUUACUUCUCAGAGACUCUGCAAAGAGGACGAAUGAUUGUGUCAACUCAAUGCAGGCAUGCCGAAUGCAGUCAGUGUCUCUGUGAAGCCUUCGAGAAUACCCAACAAUUGCUCAGCCUGAAUGAAGAAACUCAAUCACAGACAACCCAAUCUUGUCUAUGUAGGAGUACUCUAUUUCUAAGGACAAACUUGCCUGGGUUUUGGGAGUUAGGGCUCCAGCAGACUGCUCUGGUGAAGAUUCAGCUGGGCUUUGAGGCAAACUCAGUGCUCUAAAGUGCAUUACUGAGCGUGGCCUUCGCAGCACCAUGAGAAGGAUGAACCCUUGAAUUUAUCAUGCGUGCAAGAAAGAAGGAUGUCCUCACUGCCUUCAAGCCAAAACUCAGCUUGUUGCCAAACCUUGACAAGAAUUGAAAGGAGGUGCUUCCUGCUGGAGAGGCUGACAUUUGAACUCACAGCUUCUCCUGGAAGUAUCAGGAGAUUUUCUCUCCUCAUCCCUCUGGACCCCACUUACUGUCCACUACCCCACCAGUUUCAAACUGUGACAUGUAGACCUCUGGGAAGAAUUCAACAGAAGGCUGGUCAUGACCCAUUCUGCUCCAUCUCAGCUGCAUGGGAAGCAUAAAACUUUUGGCUACAAUGGGAAUUUAUAUGCAAAUGAGUUUCACGCUGCAUUGAGAAGCAGAUUCAAAUCCCUGAAGUGCCUGGGAGCCAGGCCUGAGGCUCAGGUCCCCAGUGA